rnacentral:rRNA from 1 species
AGCGAACGCUGGCGGCAGGCUUAACACAUGCAAGUCGAGCGGGCGUAGCAAUACGUCAGCGGCAGACGGGUGAGUAACGCGUGGGAACGUACCUUUUGGUUCGGAACAACACAGGGAAACUUGUGCUAAUACCGGAUAAGCCCUUACGGGGAAAGAUUUAUCGCCGAAAGAUCGGCCCGCGUCUGAUUAGCUAGUUGGUGAGGUAACGGCUCACCAAGGCGACGAUCAGUAGCUGGUCUGAGAGGAUGAUCAGCCACAUUGGGACUGAGACACGGCCCAAACUCCUACGGGAGGCAGCAGUGGGGAAUAUUGGACAAUGGGGGCAACCCUGAUCCAGCCAUGCCGAAUGAGUGAUGAAGGCCCUAGGGUUGUAAAGCUCUUUUGUGCGGGAAGAUAAUGACGGUACCGCAAGAAUAAGCCCCGGCUAACUUCGUG